rnacentral:rRNA from 1 species
UACAGAGGGUGCAAGCGUUAAUCGGAAUUACUGGGCGUAAAGCGUGCGUAGACGGUUAUGUAAGUCAGGUGUGAAAGCCCCGGGCUCAACCUGGGAAUUGCAUUUGAGACUGCAUAGCUAGGGUGCGGAAGAGGGAAGCGGAAUUUCCGGUGUAGCGGUGAAAUGCGUAGAUAUCGGAAGGAACACCAGUGGCGAAAGCGGCUUCCUGGUCCAGCACCGACGUUCAGGCACGAAAGCGUGGGAGCAACAGG